rnacentral:rRNA from 1 species
CCUACGGGAGGCAGCAGUGAGGAAUAUUGGUCAAUGGACGAGAGUCUGAACCAGCCAAGUAGCGUGAAGGAUGACUGCCCUACGGGUUGUAAACUUCUUUUAUAAAGGAAUAAAGUUAUGCACGUGUGCCUUUUUGUAUGUACUUUAUGAAUAAGGAUCGGCUAACUCCGUGCCAGCAGCCGCGGUAAUACGGAGGAUCCGAGCGUUAUCCGGAUUUAUUGGGUUUAAAGGGUGCGUAGAUGGGUUGUUAAGUCAGUUGUGAAAGGUUGCGGCUCAACCGUCAAAUUGCAAUUGAUACUGGCAGUCGUGAGUACAGUUGAGGUAGGCGGAAUGCGUGGUGUAGCGGUGAAAUGCUUAGAUAUCACGAAGAACUCCGAUUGCGAAGGCAGCAUACUAAACUGCCUCUGACAUUGAUGCUCGAAAGUGUGGGUAUCAAACAGGAUUAGAUACCCGUGUAGUC